rnacentral:rRNA from 1 species
GUCGAGCGAACAGACGAGGAGCUUGCUUCUCUGACGUUAGCGGCGGACGGGUGAGUAACACGUGGAUAACCUACCUAUAAGACUGGGAUAACUUCGGGAAACCGGAGCUAAUACCGGAUAAUAUAUUGAACCGCAUGGUUCAAUAGUGAAAGACGGUUUUGCUGUCACUUAUAGAUGGAUCCGUGCCGCAUUAGCUAGUUGGUAAGGUAACGGCUUACCAAGGCAACGAUGCGUAGCCGACCUGAGAGGGUGAUCGGCCACACUGGAACUGAGACACGGUCCAGACUCCUACGGGAGGCAGCAGUAGGGAAUCUUCCGCAAUGGGCGAAAGCCUGACGGAGCAACGCCGCGUGAGUGAUGAAGGUCUUCGGAUCGUAAAACUCUGUUAUUAGGGAAGAACAAAUGUGUAAGUAACUAUGCACGUCUUGACGGUACCUAAUCAGAAAGCCACGGCUAACUACGUGCCAGCAGCCGCGGUAAUACGUAGGUGGCAAGCGUUAUCCGGAAUUAUUGGGCGUAAAGCGCGCGUAGGCGGUUUUUUAAGUCUGAUGUGAAAGCCCACGGCUCAACCGUGGAGGGUCAUUGGAAACUGGAAAACUUGAGUGCAGAAGAGGAAAGUGGAAUUCCAUGUGUAGCGGUGAAAUGCGCAGAGAUAUGGAGGA